AGUGAACGCUGGCGGUAGGCCUAACACAUGCAAGUCGAACGGCAGCACAGUAAGAGCUUGCUCUUACGGGUGGCGAGUGGCGGACGGGUGAGGAAUACAUCGGAAUCUACUUUUUCGUGGGGGAUAACGUAGGGAAACUUACGCUAAUACCGCAUACGACCUACGGGUGAAAGCAGGGGAUCUUCGGACCUUGCGCGAUUGAAUGAGCCGAUGUCGGAUUAGCUAGUUGGCGGGGUAAAGGCCCACCAAGGCGACGAUCCGUAGCUGGUCUGAGAGGAUGAUCAGCCACACUGGAACUGAGACACGGCCCAGACUCCUACGGGAGGCAGCAGUGGGGAAUAUUGGACAAUGGGCGCAAGCCUGAUCCAGCCAUACCGCGUGGGUGAAGAAGGCCUUCGGGUUGUAAAGCCAUUUUGUUGGGAAAGAAAAGCAGCAGGUUAAAACCCCGCUGUUCUGACGGUACCCAAAGAAUAAGCACCGGCUAACUUCGU
rnacentral:rRNA from 1 species